UACGAAGGGGGCUAGCGUUGCUCGGAAUCACUGGGCGUAAAGGGUGCGUAGGCGGGUCUUUAAGUCAGGGGUGAAAUCCUGGAGCUCAACUCCAGAACUGCCUUUGAUACUGAAGAUCUUGAGUUCGGGAGAGGUGAGUGGAACUGCGAGUGUAGAGGUGAAAUUCGUAGAUAUUCGCAAGAACACCUGCGGCGAAGGCGGGUUGCUGGGCUGAUACUGACGCUGAGGCGCGAAAGCUAGGGGAGCGAACGGG
rnacentral:rRNA from 1 species